AAAGGAGGAGUGGAUGGGCAGGAGACUGGGAUGCUGGGAUGUUUGGAAAAGUUAUUCUUUUUGCGUUCAUGUUCCAGAAUUUCCUGAUAAGCCUGGCAACUGCAACAGGUAGGGAAUUUGUGGGACUAGGACAUCAAUAGAAUGAUUUGUUAUGCCUGACCUGUAAAAUUUUAUUAAUGCGGCAUUAGAGUUGUACAAUAAUUCAUUGUCUGUUUUCAUGUCUUUUCCUUGUGAGAGUAAGCAUGCUCACAUCUCUAGACCUGGACUAUCUUCUGUGAUCCUGAGGAGGAGGAGGAGUCUCAGGAACUUCUACGUACUCUUCUUGUGGUGCCACAGGAGGCUACAGGGAAAGAGAAGAGAGCCCUGGAUUCAUCCGCUGCAACCGGACCACAGUUCCUGUCUCUCAGGUGGGUAUUCCUAGGGUCCAGGGAUGGUUUGGUGUCGAGGCUGAGGACUGUGGCAGCCAUGGUUCCAUUGGGGAGGCACACUGCAGCCAGAAAGAAAGCCUGGUCAGGCGUCACCCAUCCCAGAGCAGCAGAAAACAAGCCCGCUUAAUCUUCAAUAUCACACCCAAACUUUCUUCAAAAGACAUUUUUUUUAAAAGGACAUUAUUUGUAUAUAGCCCUUGAGGAAUGUCUAUGGAUGUUUUGCUCAGUUCUCAGAAAGAGGUCUUUGAGUAUUUACGGGCAGAAAUACACAAGGCUUUUCAGCUAUCAUAAUAAAGAUCACACUUCAGCAUC